UAGGGAAUCUUCCGCAAUGGACGCAAGUCUGACGGAGCAACGCCGCGUGAGUGAAGAAGGAUUUCGGUUCGUAAAACUCUGUUGUUAGAGAAGAACAGCGCAUAGAGUAACUGUUAUGCGUGUGACGGUAUCUAACCAGAAAGCCACGGCUAACUACGUGCCAGCCGCCGCGGUAAUACGUAGGUCCCGAGCGUUGUCCGGAUUUAUUGGGCGUAAAGCGAGCGCAGGCGGUUAGAUAAGUCUGAAGUUAAAGGCAGUGGCUCAACCAGUGUAGGCUUUGGAAACUGUUUGACUUGAGUGGAGAAGGGGAGAGUGGAAUUCCAUGUGUAGGGGUGAAAUGGAUAAGUAUAUGGGGAAACACCGGUGGCGAAAGCGGCUCUCGGGACUGUAACUGACGCUGAGGCUCGAAAGCGUGGGGAGCGAACAGG
rnacentral:rRNA from 1 species